UCGGUGGCAAUGUCUCCUCCUCAUUCACCGACUUUCCUUGCUGCUUCGUGCGACCUCUCCUUGCUGAUUUGUUUCCUUGAUGAUGUAUGCGAUGAUCUCUUUGCCAUUUUCUAGACUGCGCCUCAUCAAUUUUCUUCUCUAUAUAUUCAGUAUGGCCUAAGCUUUGGAGGUAAGCUUUUACAAUUGAUUCAUUCUUGCUUCUCGCCUUAUCUUCGUGAUUCUUGUUCCUUUGUGGAAUCUACUUCGUGUAGAACAUUCUAUUGGCAAGGGGGUUUUUGUUUUGGCCAAGAGAGAGCGGCAAUUUGGUUGGUUCGGGGCUGGGUUUUUCGUUGGGGCUUGGUGGCUCUAUUCUCGGUGUUGCCUAAGUGGUGGUUUUAUAGCCCAGAUCUGAGCCUUGAUCCAUUGUCUUAGUGACUGCCAUUCGUUGGUCGAAACAGGAAGUUUACUUCGUGUUCUUCUUGUUGCUAUUAAUGGUUUACUUUUUUUUUAUUUUGGUUUUGUGCACUAACCUUGUUUUGUAGGUGCUUUUGCUAUCAACAAUUGGUAUCAGAGCGUGGGUUGCCUCUUGGGUAGUCUCGAUUCAAGCUAAGAUUUGAAAAACCUCUUAGUUUUCCUGAUUGAUUUUGCGGUAAGGGUUUCGUUUAAAAUCUGGUUUUGUGUUCCUUCGAUUGCUUUGUGCUAAGUUCGAUUUGGGGUGUUCCAACCCCAUAGCUGAGAUUGACCUUCGGAGGAGGUCCGUCCUGACUGGCUCGUGCAAGCCCACUCGCUGGCCAGCGGCGGCGCGUGUCGUUACAGGCGGCGGCCCAUGGAUGCCGGUGCUUCUGCUAUCAACACAAUGCCUACUUCAUAGUUGUAGUCGGUAGGAUGGAAUAGCAUUUGCUAACCCAGUGAUGAAUCCGUUCAACAUAUAGACCACCAUCGUGUCCAUUGAUGGUUGGUACGAGGUAGUAUUCGGUUCCAGUGACGACUUUGUUGCCAGAGAAGUCAUAAAAAAGCUCGGCCAUUAAUUUAUAUACGACAAAAUGAUCAAAUAGGAUAGGAAGAUGCCACUUUCCAUUGAAGUUUAAUUGUUCGGGUAGAAAUUAAAGCUGAGUGGCUUGAAUUUAUAGAGCUUGAAAAAGUGUCACGGUAUGUAUGUAUAUUCAUGCAUGCAAUAUAUAUAUAUAUAUUUAUAUAUAUAAUAUCAAUUUUGCUUUGUUUUCUUGGAGGCCAUUAUUUUUGUCAGCUAGCUAUAUGUUGGGGACCGGUAGAAGUUGAAUUGAUUUUAAGGUUAUCAAUAUUGUUGUCUUGUUGACAUUCGUGGACUUGAAAUUAUAUACUUUCUUAUGAUUUUUGUUUUCCGUUUGAUUUCUUGUCUACCUAUCCUAUCCAGGUCCUGUUUCUUGGAUUAAAAAUCUGUCUGUCCACAUCAGGACCACAUGCAUGAUCAGCUUUUGAUUUUUCUUUGCGGAUAUACUGCUCCUAACUUUGUUAUUAUUCUCAGCUUUUGAUUUUUAUGUCAUUAUUUUUGUCAGCUUUGGCCAUCGGCCAUGGCAAAACUUAAAGCCAUGGCCAUUCAGAUAUGGCCAAGCAAUCGAAAAGCCGCGGUCUGAGGGAUUGAAAUCGGUGACAAUGGCGGAGGAUGAAAACAAGAGACUCAUAGCGGCCAUGCUUAAUGACCCAAAAUCGGCAGCAACCCAUGGUAACCAGCGACAUGAAUGGCCGCGACAUACGUGGUUGCCAGCGACAUUCCAGCUUGUCUCAAACACAAGCAAUAAACAUACCAAAAUUUUGCAGAAAAUAACAAUAUAUUUCCCCAAUCAAAAAUCAUUAUACAAUGAUAUUUUCAAUAAAUAAGGUAGAGAUACAAUAGGCAAUGAUACCAACUCUUAGAAAAAUUAAAUAAAACACACUUACCUCCAACCACUAUUUGUAUGAAAAACCUGUAUUAAAGUUGAUUAGGAUGCUUCCAAUCAAUCAGUCAAAUAUACAAUAAUGGUGUGUGCCUUCAAAUUUGGACUUGAUUGGGGAUCCAAUCCGCUUUUAUUGUC